AAUAAAAAUAUCUUUGGUUGGGGCAACCACGAAGAAGAAAUAACCUUUGUAAUAAAAAAGAAUCUACAAAUUCAAAAUAAAAAAAAGACCCAGAAAACUGAGCAAAGAAAAAAGUUACCGCAGGGAUAACAGCGUUAUUCUCUUUGAGAGUUCUUAUUGACAAGAGAGUUUGCGACCUCGAUGUUGGACCGGGAUACCCAAGAGGUGCAGCAGCCUCUAAAGGUAGGUCUGUUCGACCUUUAAAAUCCUACGCGAUCUGAGUUCAGACCGACGCAAGUCAGGUCAGUUUCUAUCUA
rnacentral:rRNA from 1 species